rnacentral:misc_RNA from 1 species
AGCACCUACAUUCGCAUACGCCUUUUCUUUGGGGGAGGGGCUGAGUAUUUUUAGAAAAUUGUCCGGUGUAUUUCCAGACACUUUGCUGUUCAUAAAGUUAUUUGCCACCUAGAGUUACAACAGACAUUUUAUUCUGAAAAAUAAAAAGUUGUUGAAAACAUGUCUCUGUCACGUCACUGUAUGUUUGGAAACACACAGAACUUAACCCUGUUAAAUAGAAAAUAGUUUUCAGCUUGGGCAAUAGAUAAGGAGAGGUUAUAUUGCAACGUUCCAGCUUCCAGGGAUGAGUAUUCCCAGUGGAAGGUGAAAGUACUGUAUAUGAAUCAUGACAAAGAAAUGAUUGUAGUAUCAGGUUCUGUCAUAUUUAUUCCAGCAAACAAGAUAUUUACACUUUGAAGGAUUAUUGACAGAAUGUAAGCAGUGAGUAUUACUGUUGCUGGCCUUGUUUUGUCAUUACUUACACCAAAGUUUCUGCCUUGGGAGGAACUUCCUUCUUUGCUUCAUUUUGUUUUCUUGGAUUGAAAACCACAUCUCAACCAGUAAACAUCUACCCACAGUUUCCCUGUACGGCAUCGGUAAUAAAGGGAUUCGAGGAAGCCAUUUACCUUUCUGGAGCAACAUGUUCAUAUCAACAACAGGUCAUAUGGCAACUCCCAAGUCACAAUGGAAGGAAAGCAUUGUAAACGAAGCAUGGCGAAUAAAAAAUUGUCUUAUCGGAACCCGUUACGUUUAUUCCAACAAACUCGCUAUUUACACAUUGAAGGUACAAAAAGUGCCAAAACAUGUGAAUGGUGCACGGUUAGGUUAGGUCGGCUACAGCUUUCGGAUUGGUAGUUAACUGAUUGAAAAAAUAACAAAUUAAUAAUUUCUUCGGCCAAGUAAUAUCAUUGAUGUUAAUGGCAUGUGUUUUCUGAUUUUAUUAUUAU